rnacentral:rRNA from 1 species
GUAGUCCAGACCGUAAACGGUGGGCACUAGUUGUGGGAACCUUCCACGGUUUCUGCGACGCAGCUAACGCAUUAAGUGCCCCGCCUGGGGAGUACGAUCGCAAGAUUAAAACUCAAAGGAAUUGACGGGGCCCCGCACAAGCAGCGGAGCAUGCGGCUUAAUUCGACGCAACGCGAAGAACCUUACCAAGGCUUGACAUAUAGGGAAAAGUGGCAGAGAUGUCAUGUCCGCAAGGGCUCUAUACAGGUGGUGCAUGGUUGUCGUCAGCUCGUGUCGUGAGAUGUUGGGUUAAGUCCCGCAACGAGCGCAACCCUCGUUCUGUGUUGCCAGCAUUUAGUUGGGGACUCACAGGAGACUGCCGGGGUUAACUCGGAGGAAGGUGGGGAUGACGUCAAAUCAUCAUGCCCCUUAUGUCUUGGGCUGCACGCAUGCUACAAUGGCCGGUACAGAGGGCUGCAAUACCGUAAGGUGGAGCGAAUCCCAAAAAGCCGGUCUCAGUUCGGAUUGAGGUCUGCAACUCGACCUCAUGAAGUUGGAGUUGCUAGUAAUCGUAGAUCAGCAACGCUACGGUGAAUACGUUCCCGGGGCUUGUACACACCGCCCGUCACGUCACGAAAGUC